UACGUAGGCAGCGAGCGUUGUUCGGAAUUACUGGGCGUAAAGAGUGUGUAGGCGGUGCUCCAAGUCUGGUGUGAAAUUUCCCGGCUCAACUGGGAGGGUGCGCCGGAAACUGGAGUGCUCGAGUGUGGGAGAGGAAAGCGGAAUUCCUGGUGUAGCGGUGAAAUGCGUAGAUAUCAGGAGGAACACCUGCGGUGUAGACAGCUUUCUGGACCACGACUGACGCUGAGACACGAAAGCGUGGGUAG
rnacentral:rRNA from 1 species